GCACUUGUGCUUAUCAGCGAGAAAUUGAGAACUACUAUUAAGAAGAUGAGAACUUCAACACGGAUCUCCCAAGCCGGUGGCAGCGGCUCGGGCGAGGCCGCGGACAAACGGCCCUUUUCAGGGCCACCUGAGAGCGCUCCUAGAGCUAGGUCCUUUUCAGGACUCCUAUGCGCCUCCUGUCCCGCCUCCCUGGCACCGGGUGACGGGCACUUGUCGUGCUUUUGGUGCCUCGGCGCCGACCACGCCGCGGCUGCUAUGGCGGCCCCCGUCUCCUGUGUCGCCUGCCGGGAGCUCCCUGAAGAGGGGAUCCUCUCCAGGCAUCUCUUCUUUUCCCCUGCGGUGGGAAUGGCUGACGCCAUCGACCUAUUCGGACCUGACGUCGACGAUGGCAUCAUCGACGCCUCCCUGGACGACGUCUUCGGCGACUCGGCGUCCGGUUUUUCCCGCUCUCAGAUUACAACCGCCACCGUCAUACAACACGAGGGUCCGCGCCGGAUGACCGAUCUCUUCCGGGAGAUCAUGGGUGAGGCGGCGGCCAUCAAAGGGAUUCCCAUGCCGGCCCCGCCUCUCGCCCCCGUAUCUGACGAUAUGCAGGGCGAGCGCUUUCGCACCCCAUCUUUUUCCCGGCGGGUUACCCAGUGCCCCUUGUUCCCGCCUUUGCAGCACUUGUUUAUUGCUGCCGGUGAGGACCCUUCGACCCUGAAGGCUCCGGUAAGAUCCUACACGGAUGUCACCAACUUGGAGGGGUGGGCCGAUACUCAGGCGAGGGGGAUCCCUCGUCUGGAGCCUCCCCUGGCAGCGCUUCUCUGUCCGGGCGCCGGAUGGCUCCUUAACGAAAAGCCGCUGCCCCCCGACCGCCUCCAGAAGCAGAUUGUCGGCCUAACGGACAGGGUGUUCGUUUGUGCCUCUCAAUCCGCGGCGGCGGUCAACAACAUCGCCCUGCUCUCCUCUGCCAUGGUCUCCUUGUCGGCUGACAGGGAGGCCUACGGCCCGGAGGAAGCCGCGAGAUGGCUGGCGGUUUCCCGCUUCUCCAGCGCCAUCCUUCAGUUAUGCCAGCCGAUAGCCGUUUCGGCCGGCCAGCAUAUGGCGUGGGCUACCAUGAUUCAAAGGGUCAUAUGGCUCUCCCACACUGCGGUGCCGGAACGAGAGCGGGCCAGCCUCGUCCAGGGUCCACUAGCGCCGGAUGGACUAUUUGGUCCCAGGUUCUCCGAGGUGCUCGCGCACCAGCAGUCAGUCCGUGAGAAUCGUUCCCGGUUUGGGACGAUUCUCACGGGCUCCUCCCGCCAGCAGGCUGAGAGGAAGCGGGGUCUAGGCCGGUCCCAGCGUUCCAUGGGGCCGCCUCCGACUCCAGCCCCGGUGCAGCAGCCGCAGCCGCCGCGCACGGGGAGAGCAGCAGCGCCACGGACCGGGAAGUUCCUGACGCUUGCUCCUACUUUUUC
ensembl:lncRNA